rnacentral:lncRNA from 1 species
GAAGGAAGAGACCGUGUCCCAAAUGAAGAUCAUUGAUCCAUCUAAUAAAUCUCAGGAUCAAAGUGGACAGUCUAUGUUGAAGAUGGAUGUUGCUGCAAAGAAAGAGUCUGUGCCCCAAAAGAAGAUUGUUGAUCCAUCUAGUAAACCUGAGGAUCAAGGUGCUCAGUCUAUGUUGAGGAUGGAUGUUCCUGCAAAGGAAGAGUCUAUGCCCCAAAAUAAGAUUGGUGAUCCAUCUAAUAAACCUGAGAAUCAAAGUGGUCGGUCUAUGUUCAAGAUGGAUGUUGCUGCAAAGAAAGAAUCCGUAUCCAAUAAGAAGAUAGUUGAUCCAUCUAGUAAACCUGAGGAUCAAGGUGCUCAGUAUGUGUUGAGGGUGAAUGUUGCUGCAAAGAAAGAGUCUGUGUCCGAAACGAAGAUUGUUGAUCCACCUAAUAAACCUGAGGAUCAACGUGUAUUAGAGAAAACUCCUAGCAGUGUCAGGAAUAUGAUAAGUGCCUUUGAAACCGGUCUUGCUCAGGUACUUCUACUCUCCAGCUUAUUGUAGGGUGAAAUAUGCCAUGUAGUGGACUUGCUAUGCUGAUAACCUUUUUCCUUGUGUUUACAUGAAACUUUGGAAAUAUUGAACUGACUGCAUCAUCAGAAGAAAGGGAGAAGGUCGCUUACAAGGAAUCGAGCAUCAAAAUCC